GACGAACGCUGGCGGCGUGCUUAACACAUGCAAGUCGAACGGGCCUUGUCCCCUUUUUUUUGGGGGUGGGGUUAGUGGCGAACGGGUGAGUAACACGUGAGUAACCUGCCCCUCACUUCUGGAUAACCGCUUGAAAGGGUGGCUAAUACGGGGUGUUCUGGCCUGCUCGCAUGGGUGGGUUUGGAAAGAUUCGACCGGUUUUGGUUGUUUUGGUGGGGGAUGGGCUCGCGGCCUAUCAGCUUGUUGGUGGGGUGAUGGCCUGCCAAGGCUUUGACGGGUAGCCGGCCUGAGAGGGUGGGCGGUCACACUGGGACUGAGACACGGCCCAGACUCCUACGGGAGGCAGCAGUGGGGAAUAUUGCACGAUGGGCGCAAGCCUGAUGCAGCGACGCCGCGUGAGGGAUGGAGGCCUUCGGGUUGUGAACCUCUUUCGCCAGUGAAGAAGGUCCUGCUCUUUGUGGUGGGGUUGACGGUAGCUGGGUUAAUGAAGCGCCGGCUAACUACGUG
rnacentral:rRNA from 1 species